rnacentral:rRNA from 1 species
GGCGCACGGGNGCGUAUCACGUGGGUAAUCUGCCUCAAAGUCUGGGAUAACCUUCCGAAAGGUUGGCUAAUACCGGAUAAGCUCACGGGAUCUUCGGAUCCUGGGAGAAAAGCUGGCCUCUGUUUACAAGCUAGCUCUUUGAGAUGAGCCCGCGGCCCAUCAGCUAGUUGGCGGGGUAACGGCCCACCAAGGCUACGACGGGUAGCUGGUCUGAGAGGACGAUCAGCCACACUGGAACUGAGACACGGUCCAGACUCCUACGGGAGGCAGCAGUGGGGAAUUUUGCACAAUGGGCGCAAGCCUGAUGCAGCAACGCCGCGUGUGUGAUGAAGGUCUUCGGAUCGUAAAGCACUUUCGACCGGGACGAAAACGCGACACCUAAUACGUGUCGAACUGACGGUACCGGGAGAAGAAGCACCGGCUAACUCUGUGCCAGCAGCCGCGGUAAUACAGAGGGUGCAAGCGUUGUUCGGAAUUAUUGGGCGUAAAGCGCGUGUAGGCGGCAUGGUAAGUCGGGUGUGAAAUCCCUCAGCUCAACUGAGGAAGUGCGCCCGAAACUGUCGUGCUUGAGUGCCGGAGAGGAUGGCGGAAUU